AGUAUUUUCAGAUUUGUGUUUCGCUCUGAUCCGCUGUCCGACUCCUUCUCGGACACAAUCUCUUCGUUUCAAUAAUUUGAUACAAGUUUGAUCGAUCGAUCGAUUUGGUUUUCUCCGAUUUCCGGUUCCGAUCGAUCCAGAACAUACUGCUUUUUUCUCUGAUCAAUCAGAUCCUUAGCUGUUGAGAUGGCGUCAACAGCUAGAACCACAGGAUGGUUAAGAGGAAAAGUUAAAGCUGUUCCUUCUGGUGAUAGUUUGGUGAUAAUGGGGAGCACCAAGGCGGAAAUUCCCCCUGAGAAGACAAUUACUCUGUCAUCCCUUAUUGCCCCUAGAUUGGUUAGUCUAUUUAACUAGCAUUACAUGUU